AUUGAACGCUGGCGGCGUGCCUAACACAUGCAAGUCGAGCGGUAACAGGUGUAGCAAUACAUGCUGACGAGCGGCGAACGGGUGAGUAAUGCUUUGGAAUCUUCCCAGUAGUGGGGAAUAACCAGUCGAAAGAUUGGCUAAUACCGCAUACGUCUGUAAAGGGAAAGCGGGGGAUCGCAAGACCUCGCGCUAUUGGAUGAGCCAAAGUCGGAUUAGCUAGUUGGGGGGUAAUGGCCUACCAAGGCGACAAUCCGCAGCUGGUCUGAGAGGACGACCAGCCACACCGGAACUGAGACACGGUCCGGACUCCUACGGGAGGCAGCAGUGGGGAAUAUUGGACAAUGGGGGAAACCCUGAUCCAGCGACGCCGCGUGUGUGAAGAAGG
rnacentral:rRNA from 1 species